GGUUACGUACUUUAUUUUAAAAGAUUUAGUUUGCAACUAAAACUAGAGACCCACUCCGUAACCC
rnacentral:tRNA from 1 species